AGACAAUGAGAGCCGCGCUGCCUGCGGGCGUGGGCUGAGCCGCAAGCCCUGUCCCCGGAGUGGGGGCGAGUCCACCCGGGGGGCACCGAGCCCAGGGACCCCGGGGGAGGGGCGGAGGCCACAGAACGCCUGACCUGGCUAGCGACCCGCACCCAUCCAGCGGCGGUGCACCCUCCCGCUCCCGCAGUCGCACACACACACCCACACGAGGGAGGGGGAGGGAGCCUUGGCACGGGAGGAGUUGGCAGUGCACAGUCCCGCGCCGCCGCCGCGGCGGGAGGGGCGCUCCAGACCUUGGGUCAGCACGCCCCCAGAAGGAAGGGGGAACGUGCUCUGCGCCCCCCCGCCCCCCAACCCCCGCCUAGCCCCUUCACAGCAAAUGCGCUUUUUGCCCUGAAGUUGUGUGAGACCGACCUUAAACUUUCUCCGACCCUAUCUCGGGAUGCUACGGCUCAGGUCGUGGUGGUUUCGGGAACCUCAAGACAACAUUCCCCAGCUGACCUUUGGGAACUUUAACUCGGGUCGUCAUGUACGGAAAGGUAGUCUAUGGGGUACGCAGAAUGGAAAAGGGCUUCCACAUCAGUCGUGUCCGAGGACGCUCUCCAACUUUUGAUGUCCCUGGAGAGUUUCUGAUAUUUCCCUGGAGAGUUUCAGAAAGGAUUUCUUCCGACAGACGUGACCCCAGAAGGCUGCCGAGGGAGACUUUAGGACAAGAGGCGUUGUUUUUUUAGGGAAGGAAGAGGAGCCUGUGCAGAGUUGAACUGGGGUGGAGAGGUGCCUUGUAAAGUAUGGUUUCCAGAGAUGGUGAGACCUCGUAGCUAAGCGUUGUUUCCUCUGCACGUAACUGUGAGUUGUGAACUUGUGGCUCCUGGGGGAGCGGGACAGGGCCUGGCAGUGCGGGGGAGGGGGCAAGGAAUUCAGGAAGUUGGCGAGAAUUCUUCGUUUUUCAUUCUUCGUUGUAAAUUGCUUCUAAACACUUCUGAAUUUUAAAUUGCUACCGAGAAGGUCCAGAAACCGUUCUCAUCCAAUUUAGUCACUUUUAUUACGUUCCACUUUGCCUCCCCCAAUCACUGCGGCGGCUCCCAGUUUCAGCGUGGCCGCAUUUGGAAAAGGCUGAAGGUAGAAAACUCUGGAAUGGAGAGGCUGGCGACUGGAGCAGGAUCCAGGGGCUUUAAAUUUUAACCUGAAUGCGAUCGAAUGCGCGACUCCCAGAAGAGAUAGCCAGGCGUCCGCCCGGCCGCUCAACCCCCGCCAGGACUCGGAAUGCCUUGCUUUUGGUUCUUUUCGUGAGUUCCGACCAAAUGUUUAAGUGGACUGGGUUUUGCAGAAGCUCAUUUGUAAGCACUGACGGAAAUGGGUUGUGGGCAUUUGAUUUCCUUUGAUUCCAACGUUUUGAAAUAAUGUUUCUCGGAUUUGCUAUUCGAAGCAAUUUUCUAAAAACUCAUAUCUUAUUUGCUAAAAAUAAACUCUUUGGCUCAGUUUGUGUCCAGGCUGUGUACGGCCUCCAACCCUGAGCCCCGAGGAGAUCGAGCCCUGGCGCGAGCCUGAUCUCUGUCCUGUGUGUUUCUUUGUAUUUGCAAGUACAAGGAUGUCUGCGUGGAUAUCCCUGGACACUCGAUACCCCCCGGGGACCUGCUUUUCCCGCAGCUCCGCAGACGCGGCGGGAGGGCGCGCUGGCCCCGGCGCUGCUGGGACAGAGGUGAGCAGCGGGGUGGACAUUGACCGAUUCGACAACGUUCGGGCUCUAAGGGCUCGGGAAGGGACCCGGCAUUUUACCCUCCAGAUUCCCAAUCUAUUUUUAAAAAUAAUGUUCAAAACAUAUGGGAAAAAUAAGUGAUUGCUCCUUUUCAUGGUCACAGAUUGUAUUUAUUUUUUCAGACUGGUUUUCCAACCUAACGAGGGAAUGGGUAGUGAAUGUUGUUGUUGUUGUUGUUGUUUAUGUUGGUUAAUUUCGAAAUAAAACUGUUUAACUCGUACAGUUGAUUCAGACAGAAAACCAGGCUGCCUGACGUCUCCAAUGUGCCUUUUCCCCAAUGCAUCUUUGGCGCUAGGGACCGCUCUGGGGAAGACAAGCAUGUUUUCAAAGCCACUCCCAUGAGCCCCAGACCCGCGCGUGGAGCUUCCUGGGCGCGCCCCAGCUGGUCUGGAAGGCCGGCAAAUUAGGAAGUUUGGAGGGAAGAGGUGCACCCCAAACUAGGGAGAAACCCAAGAGCUGGGGAGAAGGCCCCCACUAGUGUCCAAAGUACGCGGACAGCUCUUAAAAGUUAUUGUUUUCUUCGUGGGGAUAUAUAUUUUUUCUUUUCCUUCCUUUCCUUUUUUUUUUUCUUUCACCCUCGCAUGUCUCCUCUUUCGGGAUUUGCUAAUCUUGAACGAAACUGUUCUCUCCGGACUGUUUCGACCCAAUGAGCGGCCCCUCCUGGGCAAGUCGUCCCCCUUACCCUCACAGAGGGCUGGCUCCCGGGCGCGGCCUGUCCCCAGGGUUGAUUUAUUUCGGCCGCGCCACACCACUAUUCGCGAUUCGAAUCCACCCAGAACACUGCAGCCAAUUGGGCAGGGGGCGGGGGCUUGGCUGCCAAACGGGAAGGGUGUUUGGGGACCCAGUCUUGCGCCGCUUCCGGAGGAGCGGCGAGACCCAGCAAGGACCCGCGUCCCCGUGCACCUCCACCCCCGCAAACUCACGCUCAUUUUACGAUCCUGUCACAAAACUGGCUGCUUCGGCGAUGUUUCAUAAGGAAAAAGAAUGCAUUUCUGACUUAAAACAUAUUUUUAACUUAGAUUUUUAACAGCCCAGAUUUAUGAGGCCUUCUCGCUUAUACCAUAUUUCUUCCCGUCUCUGGGACGCUUUUACCCAAGGACCCGGGGUCACCUCAGAGCCCCCCACCCCUGCCAGCGUCUGGGGCCAGUGGUGGGUUCCGGGCGGCGUGUCCCCCACUCAGCGGCCGCACUGCACGGUAGGCCGUCGACCAGAGUCCUGGCGGUGAUUUUCUUUAAGUUUAAAUCUCGGGAAACCAAAAACACUCUUUAGAAACGUCAGGUGGUGGCGGCGGAAACUUGCAGGUCGCCCCCACCCCCAGCGCCGGCUCCCGCCGGCGGCCACUUCGGGGAAGGACCGCGCGGAGCCAGCGCCGGGGUCCCCGGGCGGUCGGAAUCGAGGCCCGGCGCGUUGCGCAGGCCAGGCCCGGCCCGGAGGCCCCUUGCCCGGCGCAGCCCCCGGCCGACCCCCGUGCGCCGCCGGCGGCCGCCAGCACGGCGCGGAGGUGGGCUAGCGGCGGCGGCGCACGAAAGGUCACCGCGGUGGCAUUCCUCUCCGCGCUGUUUACGUGACUUAAUGUACUCGCUGCGCCGCGGCCUGUUAUCUAGGCCACCCAAUGACCGACGAAAGAUUUUCCCUCCCUGCUUCUCCCGUGGCCGCUUUAAACCAAAUAAAUUUAGCUAUUAAGGGCCAAGAUGUCUGACAAAAGAUCGAAAGGUGUCUUUCCGUGAUCGCUUAAAGAAGCGAAGGAGAAGCUUGCGGCUCUCAAAUCCCGAUAAAGAAAUUCCGCGCCGGCGCCGGCCUCCCUCCCCGCGGCCUGGUUGCUCCCUGACGCCCUGAGACCCCGACUUCGGCGGCCGCAGACCUCGGACGGGCCCGGCGGGACCUGUGGCUGCCGCCUGGGGAAGGUGGAGGUCCCCGGGCUGCGGGGCCAGGGAGUGCCAGGCCCUAGGAGACGGGCGGACAAGGGGGUCCCCGGGAGCUCUGGAGCUCCAGGUGGGAGCUGGGUAUCCUAAAACGGCCCCCGUGCACUUCGCGGAAAAACUAAGCCAAGCUCAGGGGGCCGAAAUUACCACUCCGUUUUGAUUAUUUUCUGAUACUAAAUAAUAAAGAUAAAACCAAACUGCCCCCACCUACCAUCCCACUCCCUGUAGGUCUGCUAAGGGGCAGUGUGCUGGUCCACGUCGCUGGUCCUGGGGCAGCGCUCCCUUUGAACCCCAGGCUGAAGGUGGUGGGUGGAACUGAGGCUGCCAGGGAAGGUGUGGACUCGCAGAGUAACCGCACGCAGGUGGGAGGCAGAGGUCCAGUCAUUCAGUCAUCCCUCGGCUUGGGUUUGGUUUGAAGUGUGGUAUUUAUUAUCAUUAUUAAUUGCUACUGGCACCACUACAUAAAGCCUAGGGCUGCCAGCUGGGCUGAGGCUCUGCCCCUGGAGUGAUCCCUUCCCUUUCACCAACGGGUGACGGCAGGGAAGAUCCAGUUUCCUGAUCCUGGAUACUAAAAAGUGGGCUUGGGGAGUCAGUUGUGAUGUUUUUGAAGUUUUCUCCUCCCCUUAAGUAAAAAGAGUCCAUAUUCCAGACCAGCAUAAACCUUUUCUACCUUUUUGAAAUAGGACAAGGAGGUGAUGGGGUGGGGGUAAGUUUCAGAUGAGACCCCUUGUCUUCCCUGCAGAGGGCUUUCCCAAGUCUUCUGCCUCCCCCAGUGUGUUCUCUGGCAGAUGCUGGGAGCAGGACUCUCAAUUCCAAAAGGCAGCCCAGGGUCUGCUGUCUGUCCCCUCACACUAGGCUGGGAAGUGGAAGAUGCCUCUCUUUUUUUGUUAUCCCUUCCAAAUAAGGUGAAUGCCAAAAAUCAUACGUCCUAUCUGAUCCGUACCCCACCAGCCUCUGGGGAGGGGAAAAAUUAGAGCAUCAGAGGAAAAGGGAAUAUUUCUGCUCCCAAGAAGGUGAAAGAGAUGGAGAAAUGCCCAACCCACUAGGCAGGGAGGACCUAGGCUCUUCCUGGAUUUUGCUGGUAUCACAAGGUGUGCAGGCCAUGCCAGUUCUAGGGCCAGGGUCCAAAUACGACCGUCCCUGGGCUGUCUCAGCUCAAAGACCUUCCUGACUGUUCAGUAGUUUUUUGGUUUUGUUUUUUCAAAACCAAAAAGCGUGGGACAGGGAUGGCUAAAGGGAAGCAAGAAAAAGAAGAAAUCAGCUUUUGGAGACUUGCUGAAUUACAAAUGCCCCACUUUGAGUCAAUUAAAGGGGCAGAAAGUGCCCAAGAAACAAACAAAAAAAUAACCCAGAAAUAUGACCUCUCCAUACAGCUAUGUUGCAAAUAUGCAGAGAAUUAGGACCAAAGGCUUGUCUACCAGGAUGCAGUCCUCCAGUUCCCUGCCACUUGCCCAAGGCAUACUGAGUAUGCACUGCACGAGGAAGAAAGAGAAGAGUUAGCUCCUAGUUUUGAAGUGUUUACAGUCUAGAAGGUUGGCACCUCUGUAAAGCCGGUUAGGCAAAAUCCCACUUUCCAAGAUGGAAGGAGAUGACCGAGUCUUUUUCCCUUCUCUAGAAAAGUCUAGAUUGCCCUCUAGGCAACCCAGCGGGUUUGAAAAGAAAGGAGUGGCUCAUACACUGAGAGAAUUUCCAGAAGCCAUUGGGCCUGCGCAGGACCCUGGGCCAGGCUGCCUGGGUUUCAAUCCUGAUGCCACCAUUUACUAGCUAUGUGAUCAUGGCAAAUAGCCCAACCUCUCUGUGCCACAGUUUCUUCAUCUGCAAAAUGGGGAUAAUAAAAGUACUCCCAUUACGGGAUUGCUAAGAGGAUGAAAAGAUUUCUUACAUGUAAACUGCUAAUAGUACCUGGCACAUAGUAAGUGCUAUAUAAAUGUUAUUACUAAUAUCUAUUGUAGUAGACUUUCAUAUACUACACCAAAUUUCGAUUUCUUGUUUGGCCCAACUGUCCCCAGGAGCAAGAUUAAUUCCCAGUAAAUAACUUCUUUGAGCACUCAUUCAGUUGGGACCUGUGAUUCACCAGAGGUCUCAAGCCUUUUCUAUGUACCAGCAGUGAGGACUUUAUUUAUUGCAUUAUGGUAGGAAAGGAGGUGAAGGGUGAGACAAACAUAGGUUCUUUACUUGUCUUUGGUUCCUUUGAAGAGGAGACAUCCCUUGUUCCCCUUGCAAAUGCCAGCAACAGAUCUUCUGCAAUAUCUUCUACAGGACAAAGACAGUAAUCUUGAGGCUCCUCCUCUGCUCCAACAAAAGAAUCCCUGUCCCAGCAGCACCCCUUCCUGGGAACCUCUUUCUGGCAGUAGACAGGAGUGAAUUAAGAGACCACUAAGAAGGGCAACCUUGAGGACUGGCAUUAGAUAUUAGCAGGGGCGGGGGGUGGGGGAAGAACUAAUUAAAGUGACCUGAUCAUCUAACUUCAGACUUCUCUUAUGCCUUUUACUCUUCAAUUUGGUUUUGUUAUAUAUGCAGAUUUAUUAUACUUUAAUCAUAUUUUUUUGGAAGGAAGAAAAAAAGAAAGAUCUCUGAGAAGCUAGGGAACACAUUAUUGAUAGGGAAAAAAUCUAGGCCAUUCCAGUCAUUUUUCAACUGAUUUUCUGUUUUGUUUUGUUUUUUUUCUUAUAGCACCCUAUCUUCUAAAAGAAGAUCUAAACCUUCAUAAUGAAAACUUUAAAAAGGAAUUUAUGGGAUGUAACAAAGAAUACUCUUCUCUAGAUAAAAUGACAGGGAAAUAGAUUUGUCUUUCAGAAGGCAAAGUCUGGAGGGAACAUAAAAGUCUUCCCGUCCCUGCAGUUUUUCUGCCCGAUUUGUGCCCAGAGCCUGUUUUUCUCUUGUCUUUGACAGUUCUGAUCUUCUCUACGUUUGAUUUACUGAGUGCUGUCAUUUCUCUGCUCUUUACUUUCACAAUCACACAUUCAAACCUGAUAAAGUUCAAGACCCUGAAUACUUGCAGCUCUCCCAGAUUUACAGCCCUCCUGCCCCCCAGCCCAGCCAGCCGUCCCGAGGCUGAUUGAAUCCUCAUGGACAGAAGCCUUUGGGGGUCAGUGGAGAGCCAGAGGGUCCAAGAGGGCCAGGCCCAGGGGGAACAUCAGCCCCUGUGUCAACUCUGUUAUCCAUAGCAAGCCUGGGUAGGUCCCUUCCCCUUGAAAGCGAUUGUCAACAUCCUCUUGUUUCAGUUCUCACUUCUAGCCUGUAACCUGCCUGUGGGCAAGUACAGGAACUGUAACUCACAAAAUAGAAUUGGUGAGGAUUCAAGAGGCUGAGAUGGAAGUAUCGCUUGAGCCCAGGAGUUCGGGGCAGCAGUGAGCUAUGAUUACACCACUGCACCACUGCACUCCAGCCUGGGCAACAGAGCAAAGCCCACAGUCAAAAAAAAAAAAAAAAAAAAGGCCAGGUGCAGUGGCUCAUGCCUAUAAUCCCAACACUUUGGUAGGCUGAGGCAGGAAGAUCACCUGAGGUCAGGAGUUCGAGUUCGAGACCAGCCUGGCCAACAUGGUGAAACCCUGUCUCUAUAAAAACAGCAAAAAUUAGCCAGGCAUGGUGGCGUGUGCCUUUAGUCCCAGCUAUUCGGGAGGCUGAGGUGGAAGAAUCACUUGAACCCAGGAGGUGGAGGUUGCAGUGAGCCGAGAUCACUGCACUCCAGCCUGGGUGACAGAGUGAGACCUUGUCUCAAUUAAAAAAACAAAACAAAACAAAAAAAAAAACAGAGAGAGAGAAUUGGAUGCAAAAUUGUGGUCAAUGUGCAUGCAUAAGUGCUAGAUUUUCCUGGACUACUAAACAGCCUUGUAAUCAAGGGCAAGACACUUAACCUCUUCGUGUCUCAGUUGCUCCAUACAUAAAAUGGUAAAAAUAUUACUUUCUACAAACAUUAAUCACGAACUAAUGACUUGGGUCCCCUUUCCUGCAUGUACGUCCAUCAGGGCCCCAGAAAGACCACUAGCAUGUGGCUGAUCUGGCUCUUUGGUUUCUGUCAGGUUAAAUACAAACUUACACAUUAAUCUAAAUACUACACCAGUGGGCUAAACAAAAGGGAUGAUCCAUUUCCAAAGGCUGAACAGUUAACUUAGAGUCAAAUUUUCAAACCACUGAAAUGUCUUCUGAUAGAAGAUGCUAUCUAAAUUGUUUAUUCUUUGCCUGCGAAUAUAAGCCCACUCAACCAUAGAACGCUGACCAAAAGCAAUCACUGAGGAUGGACGCCCUUAUUCUCAAUGAUUACUCUAAAGGGACUUCAUACUUACCAAAUAAGCAAUUCUUUUGCAUGAGCUAAUGUUUUCAUUUAUCUUGAACUAUCAGAGUUUUCUGACUAAGGUACACAUUUUAGGUGGCAGCAGUUUAAGUAGGUAUUUUUUUUUAAUCACUAUUCUAAGUCUAUGGACUAAGAAAGGUAUGAUUCCCCUCCCCCCCCUUUAAUGUUCAUGUCCUACAGAGAGCCAAAUUGUCAUAAUACCUAAGGGGAAAAUUGUAUUAACCUAUUAGGGAAGGAAGCAGAGUAGUUGCCUACCUUCUUCAGAAGGGAUUUUUAUUUUUAAUCUAUCCACUCAAGAGACACCCUUUAGAGUAUAUUACAAUGUUGCUUUUUCCUGGCCAUAAUAAUAUUCACCCCUACAGAGGUGGAUAAAGAUAGAAACCUGACUUAAUGGAUAUCAAAUAACUUUUUCUGGCUACUCUUAAGCUAGAUUACUGCUGUUUAUAAUACCACAAAUUAAAGAUAUGCAAUUAUCCAACAAAAAAAGUGUGACUAUUAUACCAUUUUUAAAGAUUGACUACCAGUGCCCAGCAAACUCUAGCCAAAAACCACAGUGUGGAUCCACAAAGCUGUCAACCUUUACAUUUCAGUCAUCUUUCUGUCCAGAGCUCAGCAUGCUUUGGGCAGAAGUGCAAAAGGCUAGGUGCAUGGGGAAAAGUCUAUCCAGUGUAACUGCUGCAGCAGCUGGCUGCACCUCUGCACCUGGAGCUAGAUUAAGCACCAGUUAUGGAGGCAUGGGUUCAAAUCCCAGAUAUGCAUCUUGCUGUUUCUCUUUAGUUGUGUGAUCUUGGGCAUGUUCCUUAAUAUCUCUACUCCUGGUCAGGCACGGUGGCUCACGCCUGUAAUGCCAGCACUUUCGGAGGCCAAGGCAGGUGGAUCACCUGAGGUCAGGAGUUCGAGACCUCUGUGGCCAACAUGGUGAAACCCCGUCUGUACUAAAAAUUCAAAAAUUAGCCGGAGGAGGCUAAUUCUUAUCUCUCAGGAGGCUGAGACAUAAGAAUCACUUGAACCCGGGAGGUGGAGGUUGCAGUGAGCUGAGAUUGCGCCACUGCACUCCAGCCUGGGCAACAGAGCAAGACCCUUCUCAAAAAAAAUAUAUAUAUAUGAUUUUCAUGAAGAUUAAAUGAAUUAAUAUUUAUAAAAUGCUUAGAAGAGUGUUUGGCUCACCAUACAGGGUUUUUGAGAUGUUUGAUAAAUAAGCAAAAACACAAACUUCUAUUUCAGGCCACUUUUUAAGGGGAAGAGAGGAGGUACCAAGGCCUCAAAGAAGUGAGGUAGGAGGGUGAUCAAAACUAAAAAGAAAAGACGAGAAAAAGCUUUCAAGAAUAUCAGACAUUUCCUAUAGGGAAUUAUUUGCAAUCAUCAACUCACCCUGUCUGUCCCUAGGUGAUAGUGCAAGUAAGUUUGUGUUUGUUUUAUUUGGUCAAACUCCUUGAUCCUGCUGAGACAAACACUAUGGUGGGUACUAGGGAAGCAAAGAUGCUUGACAAUGCCCUGCCCUCAAGCUGCUCCCAGAUAAGCAGGAGAGACAGACAAGAUUACAGAAAAUCGUCACACCAGGUGGCAAGUGCCACUGUAGAGAGAAAUCAGGGGACUGUUGGAGUGCAACCAGAGAAGGCUUCCUGGAGCAGUCGUAAAACUCACCUGACUGAGUUUUGAGAAAUGACUUAAUCAGACAAGGUUUAGGAAGUGAGAAGCAGCAAAGAUAAUUAACUGGAGCCUUAGUGUGAAGUGCCAGCAAGAAAGCAGAGAGGUUGGCAGGAUUCUAAUGCAGCCAAAGAUCUUUUAACUAUAAAAUUAUACUAAAAAUGUAGAUGCAAAAAUAUGCCUUUUAGAACAAAAGAUAAGGAGUGUCAAUGAGAAAGAAAUGAUCAAACCUCCAAGUGUAUUCACUGGAAAAUUGACCUCAAGGAUGAAAACCUCUUCAGACAGAGAGAUCACUGUUGCAUGCUAUGAGGGCCAAGUCAUGACUGAAUCUGCUAAAGUAAAUUGUAAUUAGAUUUGGGGCAUUAAAGUGGAACCCAAAAUAAUAAAAUUAGGCUGGAACACUAGAAUGUCAGCUCAAAACGGCCGGGCACGGUGGCUCACGCCUGUAAUCCCAGCACUCUGGGAGGCCGAGGCAGGCUGAUCAUGAGGUCAGGAGAUCGAGACCAUCCUGGCUAGCAUGGUGAAACCCCAUCUCUACUAAAAAUACAAAAAAUUAGUCAGGCGUGGUGACAGGCACCUGUGGUCCCAGCUGCUCGGGAGGCUGAGGCAGGAGAAUGGCGUGAACCCGGGAGGCGGAGGUUGCAGUGAGCCGAGAUCGUGCCACUGCACUCCAGCCUGGGCGACAGAGCGAGACUCCGUCUCUAAAAAAAAUAAAAAUAAAAAAGAAUGUAAGCUCAAGAAAACUGGAAUUUUUGUCUGUUCUGUUCAUCACAGUUUCCCCAGAGCCCAGAACAGAGCCUGGCCCAUAGCAGGCAUGUCAUACGUAUUUGUUGAAUGAAUGGUACAUGAAAAUAUAUAGCACACUCCCCAUAACCUUGCCACUCACUUCUCUGAUGUUGAGACAUGAUAUCACCAGCCUCGUUGAUAUGCCAUCAAAUAGUAAUUCCCACUCACCAGCAUCACAACCUAUUGCCACAUCCCAGGGCAUUGUUGAUUGCUUUCACUUACAAUAAUACCCUCACUGUCUUUGGGCCUGUGGCACACUCUCCCCAGGCCCUGGCAACCUUUUACUUAGACUGCUGUAGGUCUCUUGGGAAGCAGGUGCUUGAGGGCUGUCCCCUCACAUUGGAACUGUAAAUGAAUUCUCUAACUGGCAUCAGACUUUCUACUCACUAUUUAAUAGUCUUCAUUCUCUACUUUCAAAAUCCUGGCACCUGCACCUCACUUGACCCUCCUUCCUGUCCCACCUAUGGCUUCUCUUCUCCCUCAAGCCUUCUCUCACGCACUGCUCUAGGGCUGAAUAGAAAUUCAAGCUCCCAGCUGGGCACAAUGGCUCACGCCUGUAAUCCCAGCACUUUGGGAGGCCGAGGCAGGUGGAUCCCCUGAGGUCAGGAGUUCAAGACCAGCCUGGCAAACAUGGCGAAACCCUCUCUUUCUAAAAAUGUAAAAAUUAGCAGGGCGUGGUGGCACACGCCUGUAAUCCCAGCUACUCAGGAGGCUGAGGCAGGAGAAUCGCUUGAACCCAGGGGUGGAGGUUGCAGUGAGCCGAGAUCGCACCACUUCACUCCAGCCUGGGUGAAAGAGCAAAACUCCAUCUCAAAAAAAAAAAAAAAGAAAAAGAAAGAAAUUCAGCCUUCCUCCUUUCCUAUUCCACCAGUCCCUGAGAUUCUACCUCCUCCACGAGAUCUCGCCUGACAAUUUAGAAGAGGAACAGUGGGUUUUGUUCGUACAUAAUCACCUCAUGUCCCUGGCACCAAUACUCAUGAAUAGUCCAGAACCAAUUUAACUUCGACAUACAAGAGGUCUCCCAGCUUUAAGUGCUAGUUAUGUUUCUGAAGAGUUGUGGGCAUGUAGCAUUUUUGAAAUCCAAAUUAUUCAAGGCCACCCU
rnacentral:lncRNA from 1 species